rnacentral:lncRNA from 1 species
UUUAAUGUUGGGCCAAAUCUUCAACGCAUGCCCACCUAUUUCUCCUUUAUUGUGACAUCCAGCUGUAUACACUUUAUCCUCAAUGUUCCCUUUUCCCCCUUUCUGGUUUGUGCAUCACUACUACUCCUAUCUCAUUUUUAUUAUGAUUAGGGUUGUUUAUUUGGACCGGACAUUCGAAAUUUGUACUGAUUUGUUUAAUUUUUAGAUUUUAGAUUGAAUUAAAUUUUAGAUUGUGUUUAUUAAAAUUUUAAAUUUCGGAUUGAAUUCUGAUUGGUAUAAUUUCAAUCUGAUUCGAAAUCUGAAAUUGUUAAGGUAUGUAAACUUUAAUUUUGGAUAG